AAGAUUCUCUAAGGUUAUUCUUUGAUAAAUCACUCGUUUUCACAGAGUUACUGCUUACUGUGGGUAAUUUGUUUGCUGUUGGUUGACAAUGAACCUACUUAGGAGAAGAUAUGAUCCUUCAGGACUUUUAUUUGUUCGAAAUGAAAAAAUUAUUUCUCCUUUCAAUAACAGACAGUGGUGCUUUUCUGUUAUAAUUCAAAACAGGUUUCGGAACACAUGUCAUUUUCAGGGAGAAGGAAAGGAUGAAUGAAUGAGCUGGAGUACACUUUCUAGAACAUAUAAAGGGGAUAUGGGAACUGGAUGCAGAGAGCCUACCUUCCAGUGGGAGAGAUGGACCACAAAUACAUAAGCAAAUACAUAUACAAAAUCAUUGCAGAUUAUGAAAAAUGGUAAGAAAGAGAUAAAAAGUGUGACCGGAUGGAAGGUAACUGGGGCAAUCACUUUUAGGCAGAUGCCUCUGAGAUGCCAUCUGAGCUGAGACUUGACAGAUGAAGUGCCAACAAUCUCAGCCUCUAAGCCUGCCAAGCUUGAGAUGUUAUUUGUAUUAGUAAUUUGCAGGUGCAAAUGACCCACCUAGACUGUUUCUAGUGCACAGUAUGCUUUGUUGACAAAAUGCCCUGAAGCAAAAUGCCACAGAUGUCAGCUUCAGUUUUGUGGAUUUUCAUAGCAUCUUCCCGUAAGGUUGGUCAUUGUCGUUCCCAACCACUCCCCGGUUUGGGGGAAAGGACACAGGGUGUCCUCUGACUCUGGUGCACACAGGGUGUCCUCUGACUCUGGUGCACACAUGAGCUCUCACCAGUCCUGCUGGGACCAGGCUGCAGGCAAAGAACAAACACCUACUUAAUGAACUGUGAUGACAGAGGAGUGGCCAUUUGCUUCCUCCAGUGCUGUCCAUGCCAGCUCCUGAGCCCAUUUGUCACUUCCUGGGGACACAGCUGACUCAUAGAGCACUGGCAGUAAUCUUGGCCUGGGAGAGGUGGGAAACAGAAGGCUUGGAUAAAAGCAGGUGGAGCUGGUGGCUGCCUAGGUAAUAUGAUGGGAAUUUUUGUCCACUGACCUGUCCACAAUUCUUGGAAUUCUGCUAGAACUCAGUAUCCAAUCCACUUGGUUCUGAAAGGUUUUUUUUGAUUUUUGACCUUCAGCUCGCUCACUAAUGUGAAUGUUUGGAGGAGGAUACCACUGUUUAGAAACAUAAUUUAGCAUAUUAAAAAAGACUCACAAAAAAUCUCAAAAUGGCAAAAUCAGGUUAUAGGUGUUAGGCCCUGGAUCUCAUUUUAUCCAGAAUUGUUCCAUCUCUGAAAUGACAAAUUCAUACACUCUAGAGCAUGACACAUAGUCUUCUAACCUUCCCACUGAGUUACCCAUAUUACACUGCCCUUCAGCCUCCUGGAGACCUCUUUUUCUUUUUAAAAAAAACUUUUAUUUUGGGUUCAGGGGUAUGGAGAUCUCUUUUUCUAUGAAAGGAUCACAGUCUGUAUCUGCCUUAAGAUAUAGUCAUAGACAACCGUUAUUCAAAGUAAGGGGCCAUAAGUUUGGACGCCAUGGCUCAUGCUUGUAAUCCCAGCACUUUGGGAGGCCGAGGCAGGUGGAUUGCUGGAGCCCAGGAGUUCAAGACCAGCCUGGGCAACAUGGCGAAAUACAGAAAACUUCAAAAAUUAGCUGGGCAUGGUGGCACACAUCUAUGGUCCCAGCUACUCAGAAGACCGAGGUGGGAGAAUCACUUGACCCCAGGAGGCAGAAGAUGCAGUGAGCUAUGAUCGCACCACUACACACCAGCCUGGGCAAUAGAAUGAGAACCCAUCUCAAAAAAAAGGUAAAGGGCCAUGAUUGUAUGUCUAUUUGUGUGUGUAUGAUUUUAUCACUUUAUUUGACAAUCAGUGGUUGGCUCUCACCCACAUUGACUGUCUAUAGAUGUUUGAAAGUGGUCACAGGUACAUAGUUAAACCAAAGUAUAGAGUUUGUUUGCUGAACCUUCAC
rnacentral:lncRNA from 10 species